GACGAACCGUGCGAACGUUAUUCGGAAUCACUGGGCUUAAAGGGCGCGUAGGCGGGUUGCCAAGUCUGUGGUGAAAUCCUCCGGCUUAACCGGAGAACUGCCGUGGAUACUGGCGACCUCGAGGGGGGUAGGGGCUUGCGGAACUGUGCGUGGAGCGGUGAAAUGCGUUGAUAUGCACAGGAACUCCGGUGGCGAAGGCGGCGAGCUGGACCCUUUCUGACGCUGAGGCGCGAAAGCCAGGGGGGCGAACGGG
rnacentral:rRNA from 1 species